GAUGAACGCUGGCGGCGUGCCUAAUACAUGCAAGUCGAGCGAACAGAUGAGGAGCUUGCUCCUCUGACGUUAGCGGCGGACGGGUGAGUAACACGUGGAUAACCUACCUAUAAGACUGGGAUAACUUCGGGAAACCGGAGCUAAUACCGGAUAAUAUAUUGAACCGCAUGGUUCAAUAGUGAAAGACGGUUUUGCUGUCACAUAUAGAUGGAUCCGCGCCGCAUUAGCUAGUUGGUAAGGUAACGGCUUACCAAGGCAACGAUGCGUAGCCGACCUGAGAGGGUGAUCGGCCACACUGGAACUGAGACACGGUCCAGACUCCUACGGGAGGCAGCAGUAGGGAAUCUUCCGCAAUGGGCGAAAGCCUGACGGAGCAACGCCGCGUGAGUGAUGAAGGUCUUCGGAUCGUAAAACUCUGUUAUUAGGGAAGAACAAAUGUGUAAGUAACUAUGCACGUCUUGACGGUACCUAAUCAGAAAACCACGGCUAACUACGU
rnacentral:rRNA from 1 species